UCCCGUGUGGCUCAGUUGGUAGAGUGAUGGUGUUUGUAACGCCAGGGUUGUGGGUUCGAUUCCCACAGGGGAC
rfam:Salmo salar isolate Sally breed double haploid chromosome ssa18, whole genome shotgun sequence.